rnacentral:rRNA from 1 species
UACAGAGGCGACGAGCGUUGUUCGGAUUUACUGGGCGUAAAGCGUGCGCAGGCGGUGGACCAUGUCCGACGUGAAAUCCCGGGGCUCAGCUCCGGAAGUGCGUCGGAAACCGGUCCGCUGGAGACCGGGAAGGGAGUCUGGAACACACGGUGUAGCGGUGAAAUGCGUUGAUAUCGUGUGGAACACCGGAAGCGAAGGCGAGACUCUGGAACGGAUCUGACGCUCAUGCACGAAAGCGUGGGGAGCAAAC